CAGUAGCCGCGGGAAUACGGAGGGGGCUAGCGUUGUUCGGAAUUACUGGGCGUAAAGCGCACGUAGGCGGCUUGGUAAGUUAGAGGUGAAAGCCCGGAGCUCAACUCCGGAAUUGCCUUUAAGACUGCCGAGCUAGCAGGUGAGAGAGGUAAGUGGAAUUCCGAGUGUAGAGGUGAAAUUCGUAGAUAUUCGGAAGAACACCAGUGGCGAAGGCGGCUUACUGGCUCAUACUGGACGCUGAGGUGCGAAAGCGUGGGGAGCAAACAGGAUUAGAUACCCGCGUAGUCCCUGUCUCUUAUAA
rnacentral:rRNA from 1 species